CCAAUGAGCAGAGACUGGCUCCUGGGCGGUCGGGAGGCCGGGGAGGUCUAGUUUCUCUGAGGGCUCCCCGCGGCUGCGUAUGUGUCACCCUGUGGCUGGGAUGCGAAACUUGGAUUGCAUUUUUGUGACAAGAUACAGCUAAAUCGCCUAGGUGAGACCACUGCCGUCACACUUAGUCCUGGACAUUGGCAGAAACUGGCAGAGCAAUGGCGGGCUAGUCACCUCUGGGUCCGGUUCCAGCAGGGCCGGAAAGAGACUGCUCAUCACGGGAUCUGGGGUUGCUUUUUUCUCCGCUUGAAGCUACCUGUCGUCGAAAGUGGCCCUCAGCGAAACAAAAUUUUCCCAGGAUAGAUUUUUUAUGACCAUUUUUAUCCCCUUCCCCUUCCGAAGGUAUAAAGCAGCUAUUACUGCAAGGCUUGUAGUGUUGACAGUCUUGUAGGCAAAGUCUUUGCUGUGCCCAAAAUGUAAGUGCCAGUGCAUCGUUUCUGCUUCUUUGGGUGUAGCCCUUCUUACUGUUACAAUCAUGUAACAGUUUGCUACCUAGGAUGUCUCUCCUCGCUGCACUUUAUUUUCAAGAAAAAUAAGUGUUAACAUUAAUUGAGCGUUUAUCUUAUGCCACUCAUAGUAAACUUGUACACUGGAUUAUCUCACUGAUCCUGGGAACAACCCUUUGAGUACUGCUCUUCAGUUGGGGCGAGCUGCAGUUGGACAGAAAGAGGCAUGAUAUGCAAGGAGGAAUCCCAGGAGGGAGGAAAACGACACUACUCCACCUUGGUAUAAACAACAUGGAAGACAAGAAAGAACUGAAGAACUAUUGUAGAUCACAGGAAAUUAAGAAGAAAGAACAACUAAAAUUAGGAUCCUGAAUAGAAUUCUGCAACAGAAAAAGAAUCUAAGUGAAAAUACUAAUGAAAUUAAGUCAUCUUCAAUCCAGACAUCUGCCUUUUUCUUGUGCUCCAGCCAGGAGAUUCAAGUCAAACCAACAUGAGGUCACCAGUCAAAUGAUAAAUUUUAAACAAAAAUUUAUGUAAUGUCCAUCAACAAAAGUACCUAAGAACCAAUGGGUUACAAUUGCUAUAACUUAGAAACAGUUUCUAAACUUAAGUGUCAGCCCUACUGCUCAUGCUUUGAUUAUAUAUGCCUUUGUAUAAAUAUUUUGAUUAUACAUGGCUUGAUUAAAGUUUGUUCUUGCCUAGAAAGUGCCAAACCCCAAGACAUCAUACAGGUGAAAAUAAUAACAAAUCUGCUAAAUUCUUUUUUGAUUAUUUUUAUUGGGAUCCACCAAAUUUUGUCCAGAAAAACAUUAUAGGACAUAUUUGAGACCAUAAUUGCACUCAACAGGCCUUAAAUGACACCACAGUUGAUCUCUCUCUUAAAUAAAAAAGGUAAAAUUAAUAAAACAAAAAGUCUUCCAAAAUCAAAUGGUAUCAGACAUCCCUAACAGCACAGGAGGUAUUUACACAAUUGUAAAAACUAAAUGUACAUUGACAAACCAAUGACGUCAGUUUCUAAAAUUCCCUGGGCCUUGUCCUUAUCCUCCUUAUGGGAAGCCAUUACUAAAACUAUAUUCAUAAUUGUCCUGUUGAUUCUGUUAUUUGGCCCAUGCCUACUUAAUUGAUUCUUUGAUUUUGUCUUCUCUAGACUUAAAUCUGUAUGCCUACCCAAGAUGAAAGUGCCUGGUAUCUACUGAGGGCCAUUAGUUAGAAGCCCUACAGAGUAUCACUGACCACUGUUUAACAACUAUGACCCCCUUCAGCCUGAAGAAGCCAGAUUGGGCAUCACACAUUAGCUUCAUGGCAUUUUGGGUUAUUUCUUCAGAGGGGUAAAUGUUAUAGGCAGGUGAGUCAGUUAAAAAUAUUAUAGGUAGUCAGACAGGACCUUAAAGGAGCCAGCACAAAGGACCUGUUGUGACUUUGUGUGAUGAUACCUCCCACUGCAGACCAGAUCCCAAGACAAAAGGCUAAACUUGGGAGACCUUGUUAAUAUGGUUCAAACCCACAGGGGGACCUUCUUAAUAUGAUUUUUCCCAUUUUCAACAACAGAAAUAAAACCCAAAAAGUAUGGGAAAAAUAAGGAAACUUGCUACAUAUCAAUCUAAUCUUCUAGCACCAGCACUUGGGGCUCCUAAGACAGGUAAACCAAAACAGGGUGAAGGCUGCCUGAGCCCCUCCCAGACCAUCUUCAAGUGUAACAAGAAAGGACACUGGGCAUGAGAAUGCCCCAACCCACAAGUUCUUCUGGGGGCCCUCCUACUCUGCAAUCUCAAGGGCUAUUGAAAAAGCAACUGUCCUAGCUGUCAGAGAGCAGGUAAGUCAUCCUUUAACUCCUUACUCCCAUAGGAAAUCUCAUCACCACCAGAUUCAUCACUGGCUGAUCUAAUGGGACUUGCUGCUAAUGAUUGACAAGGCUUGGGGCCCAUAUCCCCAGUAAAGUAUCCUCAGGGCCCUGAAUUUCACUGGAGGCCUCAGAUAAGGCACUUGUAUACAUGGAGGCCUUGUAUAGUGUUCUUCCUAAAUUUUCAGGCCAUUAUAUUAAAUCCUCAGUCUCUGCAGUGGGUGCUGACAGCCAACAUACACAUUCUUUUCAAACAGGGCCCAUUUCAUGCAAGUUGCAAACUCUUUUUUACUCUUAGCUUUCUGGUAAUACCAACAUGCCCCACAUCCUUUUAGGUAGAUAUUUCCUCCAAAAGCUUAACUUCUCCUUACCUUCUCCCUUCCCACAGCUUUAGUCCUCCAAACACCAUCACAAUGUACCAUAAAACCAACCCCUCCUCUCCCUUUUUCCCUUGUUGAUCCCAUAGUCAGAGACACCUCCAAACCCACCCACACUACCAUGCUACACCUGUUUUAAUUCAUUUCAGAGAUCCUUCGAUUUUUCCUUGCAUUCCUGAGUAUCCUUUAAUUCACACACAUCUACAGAGAUUCAAACCUAUAAUCAUCUUUUAAACAACAAUUUCCUCAAUACUUCAUUCACCCUACAAUAUUCUCAUGUUCCUAGUACUCAAGCCUAAUGGGUCCAAUUGUCUGAUACAAGACCUUAGGGUUAUCGGUGAUGCUGUUAUCCCAGUUCACCCAGUGGUGCCAAACCUUAUGCUCAUGCUCUCUCACAUUGUUCCCUGCACCACUCACUUCACAGUCCUAGUUCUGCUUUUUGUUUUGUUUUGUUUUGUUUUGUAGCAUCCUCCUACUCCUUGUCAGUAUUUCUUUUCAUUUACAUGGACUGACCCAGACACUUUCAGGUAUCAACAACUUACCUGGACAGUGCUCUCUCAAAGGUUCAGGGAUAGUCCUCAUUUCUUUAGCCAAGCUCUUGAUGCUAACCUUACAGCUCUUGACCCCAAACCCAGCACUCUCUUUCAAUACAUUAAUGACCUUCUCCUGUAUUCUCCAUCCCAUGCAACAUAUAGCCAGCCACUUUGGCCAUGCAACAUAUAGCCAGGCUCCUCAAUUUUCUUUCCAAUCAUGGGUACAGGGUUUCCCUUGCUAAAGCCCAAAUAGCUUCCCCAAAGUCAAAUAUCUGGGUCUCUCUUUCACUUCUACCAUUCAUUCCUUAACCAAGGAUCACAAGGCAAUUCUUUGGGACCUCACGGUGACCACAACCAAACAACAUCUUUUUUCAGUUUAGCUAACCUCUUUCACUUCUAGAUUCCUAACUUUACAGCUCUAGCCCAAGCCCUCUACAAAGCUUCCAAAAAUUCCUUAUCAAAACCCCUAGUCUUAGCCAAGCUCAGAGUACAUCUCUGGACUCCUACUUUUCUAAGCCCUUUUAAAUGCAUGCAUGGCUGGCCAUUCCUAUUCCACAAUCUUCCUACCUUCCAAAGUCUCCCUCUUCUUGCUGACCACAUCCCAGUUCUCUCUUUCCUCUGACACUUGUUACAACAACAUGCCAAUCUCUGUCUCCUCCAACCCUCUGAUGGAACAAAACCAGAUCCUCCCAUAUCCCCAGGAGAUCUAAUUUAUCUUAAACUUUUUAAAUCCAUAGGACUAGCACCAAAUUGGAGUAGCCCCUACCAGGUCUUCCUCACAACUUCAACAGUGGUCAAGGUUGCUAGACUGCCAUCCUGGUUCCACAUCACUCAAGCUAAACUGUGCCUCCUAACUGUAACUCCCCUGAUUCUAAACAUCCUGAGUAGUCAUCACAUCUUCUAUCUCCCCUAUCCAUCUCACCAAGAUCCCAUAGCCACAACUUUCAGGCUAAGUCAUGUUUUGUUAUCCUAUUUGGUUCUUGAUUCCUUAUAUUCUAUUAGCUAUUUUUUUGCUGUAAGACGCUGGGAAGUCUUUCCUAAAGACUUCCACAUUAUAUUCAAAAUUGUUUUUAUUCUGAUCUACAUAACAACUAUCUUAGUUCUCUCUACCCUCAGCUGUUUGAGUUAAACAUGAGACCCCUCUGUGUCUGGUCUCUCAUAUCACUUAUAAUAUAGUCACAGCCUUCGCCACCCCUAGGCUAUUUGGGGGGGGGUAUUGGGGAUUGAACUCAUGACCUUGUGCUUGCCAGGCAGAUGCUUAUGCCACUGAGCUAAAUCCCCAGCCCCUCACCACUAGUCUAUAAUUUCCCAAACAUGGCUUAACUGUCAAGCCUUAUGUUUCUCAUGUUCCCCAUUCUCCCCAGCUCAACCACUGGACCAAGAACAAGUGUUAACUAUACUUUUACCCUUUCCAAUGGAAAAGUAGUUACCUCCCAUAACAUCACCCUUCCCAACUCCAUGUUUAUAUUUCAGAUUCUUCCUCACUAUGGCCCUGAUGGAACAACACAUUUGGAUCAUGGACACUUUUCCUUCUACCUCUCCUGGGUUCUUUAAUUAUGAUAGUAGCCUUUAUAACAUCUUGUUUUUUUUAAUCCCUCCAAUCUAGGAUGCAAGCAUUCACAAAUAAUAAACUCCUUGUCCUGCUGAAACACCCUAGCUCCAGCUUCUACAUGAGCAUCAACUAUCAUCUUGUCAACCCUCCUAAACUCCAACACAAUGCCCCCAUCCAGCAGGAAAUAGUAAGAGAAACUCGUUGCUCUUUACUAACAAUAUAAAGAUGGGAGUUGCUUCAGCCCUAAUUGCAACUCCCUUUCCAGUUUGCAUGUGAAGAAAAUUCCAAUCAGUUCCUCACAUGUCAUCAAUGCCCGCCCCAAGUGCUGCUUCUGGUCAGAUAACCUCCCUCCAUGUUUGUCUCUGGUGAAGGAGAUAGCUCAACCACCACGGAUUACGUGCUCCUUUCCACAUCCUCAGCAAACAUGUUCUUUUCUUAUUUUACUUUUUCCUUCUCUAUUGCCCCAGAAAACCCUAACAGAAGUAAUGUGACAAUAAUUAUAUAUAGAAAAAGAAAAAUAUAUGGUAUAAUGCAUAAUAAUAUGCUUCCAAAUUUGUUCCCUUAUCAUUCCAUCCUUUGUUUUUGGGGUCAGCUUUAUUGAGGUAAAAUUUCAAGCACAGUAAUUCAUUAUAAUUUUAGUAUACUUUCUCUCUUCAAAGUUGCAAGAGCAUUAAUAGGAAAAACAUGAAAAUAUCACCUACAGCUUUAUAUUCUUAGAAAUUAAACUGCUAUGUAGUACUUUGAUUAUUUCUUGUACUUACACCUCAUAUUUGAGUGUUUUUGCCUGGUUUAUGGUUAUAAAUGGCACAGACAUGUUUAGGUUGUUGACAGCAAUUCAUGUUAGAUAAUGAACAUUUUUUUUUUCAUUGUGCUUCAUAGUGUUCUUAAUGAAGCCAUAUGACAUUGUCUUUAACUGAUCAAAUUCCUCCAUCUGUUCAGGGACCCAAGCCAAAAAUUUGAGUGAGAACAUAGGAUUCUCAUGGCACAGUUCUCAUUCAGAACAGCACCUUUUCUUACCUAGAUUAAAGAAAUGCUCCUAACUGAUGCCUUUACUUUUUGAUGUUCCAUCAAUCUGUUAUCAAGCACACAGUGUUUAGGGAGCUAAGUAAAAUAGAAUAUUAUAGGCAAUCAGAUAGGACUGGGCCCUCCCUGGAAGGAGCCAGCAUAGAAGGUCAGAUACCUUGCAACUAUGGGGGAAAACAAACACCUCUUGCUGAAGAUAAAUGACAAAACAAAUGCAGCCACACGCUAAGGAUAAACAUCAGAGAUUGAUAUUCUAAACAGAUCUGGAUCACUUUGAGGAAUCCAGAAGGAGCCACUAUAACCCAAACCCCUACAGGCAAAGGCACUCUUCCCCUUGCUACAUGACUUGCUUCUCUAUUGGAUCCUGAUUUAAUCAAUUUUACCGGAGCAAUUAUACUCACAAUCUUAUUGGUUGACCAUAUUUCUGUCCCACCUCAUGUCCACCUGCCUGUGAGUUCCCAUUUUUCCCUACCUUGGACCUGCCUCACCUCAUGGUGGUUGCGCUCUAUAAAAGUUCCUAGAAAAGACAGUGUCUUUGGCAACCCACUCAGGACACCUUCUGACUUUCAGACAGAAGCUUUCUUUCUCUCAAUAAAUAUAUUCUGUUUUUUAACCUCUGUUGUUCCUAAAAUUCAUUCUUCAGUUUUAGAGAACACGAACUCAUACUGGGACAUCUAGUAGGUUGGGAGUUUCUUUCUCUAUAUCAACAGCAACCAGGUGUAAAACAUGUUUUUUCAGUGAUUGUUGAGCAACUACCCAUUAGAGGCUGAAUCAUUUCCAGUCCUUCAGAUGUAGGCCCUUACCUACAUUUUCAGCAUCAUAAGUUCUCUCAACCCCCACCUCACUGUGUAUUUGUUGUAUUCUUCAAAAACCUGUCAAGUAAGUGAAUGACUCUGCUUUGAAUGACUUUCCCACAUCUCCCAUUUCCUGUGAUACCUUUAAUGCUUGGUGUAAACAUUGCUUCCUCUUGCAAAUAUCUCUUGCCCUCCCCAGAAUGAGGGAUAUGCUUCUACUUUCAUACUCUUGGAUAUAUUUGAAAAUGGUUCUAUUUUAUUCUGUACUUUCCAUGUUACAAGUACUACAUUCCAUUCCAAGUACUAUAUACUUCUCUAUCAUAAAAAUUAUGUUCUAUUCAGGUUAUUAUUUCUAGAGAUGUAACAUCUGGCAUUUGGUAGGUUCCAAUAAGUGUUAUUUCAAUAAUUUAAUAAUUACAGUCUUACUAAUUCAGCACUAUUUUCCAGGCACUUAAUACUUUCCAGGCACUCAAAAUACUUUUUCACAUAUCUCAACCCUCUAAAUGGCUCUGUAAGAUAGUUAUUACCCAGGUGUGGUAGUGCAUGCCUGUAAUCCCAGCAUUUGGAAGGCUGAGGCAGAAGGAUUGCCACAAGUUCAAGUUUACCUUGGCUACAGUAUUCCAUGGCCAGCCUGAACUACAUAGGAAGCUUGUCUCAAAAAAAAAAGUUAGUAUUUAUCAUUAUCAUUUUAAAGAUGAGAAAAUUGAGACACAUAGAGGCAAAAUCAUCCCACAGCUAAUAAUGGAAUCAUAAGACUUAUACACUAUAUUUGAACUUAUACACUAUAGCUCUGGCUCUGGAUAACACGUUCCUAAUGAAUACACACACACACACACACACACACACUCACUGACAUACACAACCUUUCCUUUAUUGCUUAAUACACAGAUUACUUAUGGUCGGUUUUUCUUUAUCUCUCUGUCUCUCUCCCUGCUUCCCCUAUUCCCUCUUUCCCUUUCCCUUCCUUUGACUUUGGCUAAAGAUAAAUUCCCAUGAAAAUUAAAGUUGGGACCUUUUGUCUGUAUUUUCAUAUACCCAGUCACAACUUUACCUAACCUGAUGUCACUUGUGCCAAAGGAGUGAAAGUUCAUGGCAGCUUGCCAUCCCAGGCUGACAUGGUUUAAGGGGCAGGGCAAGGCAGGUCAAGGACUCUAAAGAUGGCUGCAGGACGAGAGCAAGGAAGUGUGAUCUGACAUCAAAUAACCUUGGUCAGCAGUCAGCUUGGCUUCACAAUGCAGAUUUCAACAUAAUUUUAGGAUGAGAGAAUGGAAAGCAUUUCCAUGUUGCUUCUUCUCAAAACUGCCCCAAUUUUAAUGACUUAGUGGCUAAACAGUAGCACAGACUUUUGUCCUGUUAUCUUUUAUGCCAGAAAGUAGUUCAUCUAAAUUAUGUGAAUAUACAUUUUUAAAAUUCAUUCCAAGUAAAUCUGAAAUUGAAAUUGCCAUGUUUUGAGGAAACUCCAAGCAGCCAAAUGAAGACAUCAUGUGAAAGAGAAUGAUAACUAGCCAGCUCAAGUGGUCCAAAUACUCCAACCUAAAUACUGGAUAUGGAAGCCAGGAGUCCAUGUCUGACACUUCAGCUUCAGUAGACAUGAUGUGGUGAACUACUAAGGAACCAAGAGCCAGAAUUAAGCCCUCAAUGUUAUCUUUGUUCUUAUUUAAAAUUUUAUUUUAUUUUAUUAGUACAUGUUUGCAAUUCAUGAAAUUUAUAAUCAUCUUGCAGAGUGGUUACGUGUACAUUUACAUAUGUACAUAUUAUAGUUUGUUUUUUUUUCCCUAAUCCCUUUCCCUCCCUUUCUUUUCUCCGCCUCUGGUUCCCCUAUUACCAUUUUCAUGCUUGUCGAUAUUAUGUGUCUUAGCUCAUGUUAUGGCAUAUAAUGUUACCAUUGUUCUUGGGGGCUGCUACAACAGCAUAGACUGAAUUGCUUAUAAACAAUAGAAACUUGGUAGUGCAUAGUAGUGCAUAUCUGUAAUCCCAACAAUUGGGAAACUGAGAAAAAGAAUUAUGAGUUUGAGGCGAGCCUGGGCCUCAUAGAGAAUUCAAGGCCAGGCUGUUCAAGGCCAGUGUUUUGAGACACUGUCUCGAAAGAAAGAAAGAGAGACAGAGAGAGAGAGAAGAAAGAAAGAAAGAAAGAAAGAAAGAAAGAAAGAAAGAAAGAAAGAAAGAAAGAAAAGAAAGAAAAGAAAGAAAGAAAGAGGAAAAGGCAAGCAACUUAUUUCUCACAGAAGGCUGGGAGUCAGAUCAGUAUGCCAAAAGAGUUAAAUUGUGCUCAGAGCCCUUUUAAGGGUUACAGAAUGCCUGACCUCUCACUGUGUCCUCAUGUGGUAAAAGGGCAAAGGUCUCUCUGAGGUCUCUUAUAAAAGCACUGAUCUUAUGAAUGAGUGGACUCACCCUUAUAGUCUAAUUUUCUCCCAAAAGCUUCAUUCUGGGAGUUAAGAUUCCAAUCUAUGAGUUUGGAGAUGGAAGAUGAUAAACAUUCAGGCCAUAGCAGAUUGAUAGUACCAGCUGAACCAUCCUAACCAUUUAUGGCUAUUUCAACCACUCCGUUCAUCAUGGAACAGAAAUGAAAAGAUUUCUCUUGGAACCUGCUCCAAUUCCAGACCACAAAGCAUGGAGGAUAGUAGAUACCAUUUAAUGCCACUGAAAAAUAAGAAUAAAUUUUAAAAUUUCCUCCGUGGGAUUAAAAUAAAUUUUGAAUGAGAAACACUCACUGAAAAUAAGUUCCAUUCCUAUUGUUAAGUAAAAAUCACAACUGGCCACUGUUUUGAACUAAGUUCCUGCACCAGUCCCCAACAUACAAGACUAAAAUUAAACUUCGUUUAAAAUUCUUAGUCACCAAACUGAAACUAAGAUGUUUAUUUGACCUAGGAUUAGAGAUAACAACCAAAUUUCCCAAACAAGCCAUUUUAUAUUGGCAUGAUAGUGACACCAAAAAACCUAACCUGAAGUAACUGGAUAUUCAACAAUGUUACUUUUCUACUGUUCAGUCACCCUAUCCCUGCCCUAUAAGGAAAGUAACUUUGAAAUGACCAAUGCACUUUUUGUCUUCAUUUUUGUCUUCUUAUUGUUGUUUCUGGAUUUUUCAUCCAUUUUCUGUGCAUAGAACCAACAUCUUCUACUGGGUUUGCCAGAACAUUUAACCUGUUUUAUGGAAUGAACUGCUUCCCAAUUCUAGAAUUGAAAAUGAAGCCAAUAAAUAUCAGUAAACCAAGUUGUUAUAAUUGUGCCUUAGCUGCUGAGCUGGUUUCCAUGCUUUUUUGUGGGUUUGUUUCUGUGUGAAAAAGCAAUUGCUCACCACUGAGACUGACUUUGACCAAAGUCACAUGCAUAAUCUCUAUGUAGCAGCAGCAGGGAUGGCAGCUGAAGGGUUCUCCUGGCAGAGUUUUCAUCUCCAGGCAGAGUGAUCAAUGAAACUGACCUCUAGCUGCCUGAGGGUGUUGGAGCCACUGUGAGGCCUAAAAAACAAUGUUUCCUUAGCUUACCUCCUAUGGUAGAGAAAACGCUGACUUUAGGAGUAGCUUAACCUAGAUUUAAAUUCUUCCACUUAAAUUUAUGCAUGACUCUCGACAACUUAAUGAGCUUGGAGAUACCACAUUUUCUUAUCUUUAAAAUGAGGAUAACAGGGCCUAACUUUGUAGGCUUCUAACUGGUAAUAUUUGGGGUAGUGUGCAAGGAUUAAAUAAACUGCACUGAUCUAACAUAUAUUAAUAAGGUAGCUAAUGAUUACUGGGUAUACCAUGAAUGACUUCAAAUUUCUUAUCACCAUCCUCAGAAAGCUUAGUUCUUUGAUGUCUUCCUAUUUCAUACAGUUUCUCUCUUCUCAACUAACCCACCCUCUUUUCCCUUUCUAAGGUGGUGAUCUCAAUACAUAUUUAUUUCACUGAUCAACGAUAAGGACUGCCUCAUCUUUCAGUCAUUAAACCUAGACUUCUCCCGACAUUUGUAUCUACCCUCCCUGCCUUUUCAGCAAUGAAGGAAAUGUCUCCCCUCCAUUAAAGACAGUCCUUCCAUUUGUGUCCUGAACCCCAACGUCCUUUGCUGUCUCCACUGGAUAAUUCCAUCAGCUUCCUCAUAGGUUUUCUUCUCUCUCAUCUUUGGAAAAUUUAUCUUGAACCCUAAUCUCCUUUCAGCUACGUUUAAGUCCUCUGGUCUCUCCAUAGAAGAUUCUCAAGAAAGUUCCUGUUCAGAUUAUCUCUGCCUCUUCACUGAUGAACACUUGGUUUUGAUUCUGGCUCUAUUAUUAUUCUGAGAUUUUUCUUGUCAGGGUCACCAGUGACUUUAUGGUUGCCAAUUGCCAACUGCCAGCCUCAGCCUUCUUUCCUCACUCAGUGUCACAGGUAAACACUGAUGUUUCUCAUAAUUUGGUCCUGGGUUCUCUUUUCUUGUAUACUCACACAUUUCCUAGGUGAUCUCAUUCAUGACAAGCUUUAAACACAAUGUUGUUAUUAUGUUCACGGCUUCCAAAUGUAUGUCUAUUGUUCAAACCUCUCCUACUGUCCCCAGACUUGCAUAUUCUAUUGCCCCAUUGACAUCAGCGCUGGGAUAUCCAAUUAACAUUUGAGGCUUACUUCUUCUAAUAGUAAGUUGUUACUAAAACCAGAAAACUAAAAGUCAUUCUUGACAUUUCCAUUUUCUUAAACUUCCAUAUUUUAAAAAUAUUUUUGUUGAUUUUACUUUGAAAAUAGGUCUCAAAACUGUUCAUGUUGGGGUCUAGGGGCAUAGUAGUGGAGUACACAUUUUGCACAAGGAUGCACAAGGCCCUGGUUUCAACCCUCAGCAUGGAAACAAUGCCAGCUGUCCACUUCUACCCAUCUCUCAUUGACUCUCACCUGAAUAUCUGGUUUCUGUCUGAUGUCGCCAUGAUUGCACCUGCCCCAAUCCAUUUUCCAUAAAGCAGCCAGAGUUGUAUUUCCCAGCACAAAUAAAUGAAUUCCUGUCACCCGUAUACUUCACAACUAUCAAGUUCACAUUAUGCUUUGGAAAAAAUCCGUACUGCUUUUCUAUUCAGAGAGGGAGGGCUUUGCCUAGAAUACAAGGCAACUAUAAGACAAAUCUGAAUGUUCAGAGUGCUGGAACUCUCUUAUAAAAAUCUCCCUAUUACCUCUGCUAUUCCUGAAGAAAUAUGCUUGCAUCCUAGUCACUAGCAUGCUGAAAAUACUAAAAUCUUUUUAAUGUAUAGAUGAUUUCAUGUGUGUGUGCCUGGAUGUGCAUUUCAUUUCUUCCACUGACUAGAACACUUUCAAAAUCUCCUUACUUGGCAGGUUGUAUCUUAACCUCCAAGAAUCAGGAUAAAUGUGAUUUCCUUAAUUACUCCCAUUGUAGAGCAAGGUCCUUCUUCCACUUAUUGUCUUUCCAUUAUUUAAUUUGUUAUGUCACUUAACACAAUCUGUAUGUUGGUAUAUGUAUUUUUAUCUUCCUCUCAUCUGCUUGCCCCCUCACAAGAAUAUAAUGUUGCAUGAUGGCGGGGACUUUUUCUCCCCUUGUUUAAUCAUGGUAGUCUUUGUACUUGAAACAGUAUCUUAAAUAUGAGGGCAUAGGUUUUAAAAAAUUAGGGAAAAAGUAUUUCUGAAUAAAUAUUCAAAAUAAAAAUUGUAGCUAGAAUUUUAUGUAUGUAUUUGAUGGAAAUUGAGCUGGAAAAUUAUUUAAACUAUCAUGAAGGCUUUUUUGUUGCUUUUCUUGUUGUUUUGAAACAACAGGAAACAUCCUGCCUCAGUUUGCCAAAUGCUUGGAUUACAAGUAUGUGUGUCCAUGACCAGCUCCAAAAAGGUGCUCUUGUAAACAAUAAAUGAGAUGUUAGAGUGCGAAAGAAUUACCGCUAAGAAAUAAAGCAAUCCAGAAAUCGUUACAAAGGCUGAUGCUGUGCAGGCAGAGAAGUUUUAUAUCAGGUGUUUGAACCAUGGUAUAAAAUCUGCAGGUAGUGGAAGAUGUGCCACCUACUGGAGCAUGCUACAGCAGAGUUAUGACAUGUGGAAGGGUGAAGGGGAAAGGGGAACCCUAUCCUCUCAACUUCCACACUCACAACAUGGAACACCUCUGUGACCAGAUAAGGGAUAUAGAGAAGCUUCCUCGCACGCCGAGCUAUCUGGUAGAUAUCAAGGGGUGCCCUACCACUGAAUUUUGACACUAUCUACCUGGAAAUAGCAUCAGAUCCCACAGAGUAAAUAGUGGUUAAGUCCCAUAAGCCUGCUCCUGUUUCAGAUACCACUUGCAAUUCUCAGGUUGUGAUCUUUGCUUUUGACUGGCUAUAAAAUGGAAUUCCCUUGACUUUCCUGAUGAGACUCAAUAAUGUGCUAGGACAGCUCAGGGGACUCAGAGAAAUAUUUUACUUAUGUUUACCCAUUUAUUGUAAGGGAUAUUUAAAAGAUGCAGUUGGACAACAAGAUGAAAGAAUGAUUUGGGCAAGGAACAGUGGAAGUAUCACUGUGUCAGAAGCUCCAUAUAUUCAGCAACCUGAAAGGUCAUUGAGUUUCAUUAUGCAAGAUUUUUUUUAAGAGUUUAGUCCCUAUAGCUCUGGAAUCUAUUAUGACUGAAAGUUCUAACUCACUAGUUUUCUAAUUACUUGAAUACUAUGGGGACUGAUCCAAUUAUGAGCCUAUCUAAGGCCUUACCACAUUGGUAUAUAGCUUGUCAUUCAUUCAUAAAAAAGAUCUGUUAUGAAUAAUAAUAGACACUCCUAAGACUCAGGAAAUUCCCAAGAUUCUAGGAGGUCAGUAACAUGGACUAGAGGCAAGCACACAAUAUAAAAUAUCCAGUGAUCUUUGUAUUGUGCCAUAAUAGAUUUCAGAGCUAUUCAGACCUUAGUUUCAAUUUAGUGACUCCAUAUUCUGCUGCGUGAACUUGGAUAGUGAGCUUCUCUACGGAUUCAACUCACAUGAGAACUGUGAUUAUAAAGAUGCAUUGAUCACCUUUUCCAGCGCUGGACCCAAAUACCUGUAAGUCUAGAGUGAACCGGCUCAUGCUAUGAGCUGCAGGGAGAGUGUAGGGUUCUAUUUCCACAGAAGUCCUUCGACAGGCAAGAGUCGGUGAGUGACUCCAGUCUGGGUGCCUGCAGUAUCCCCUGAAGAGAAUUCCUGGUCAGGUACCAUUCCAGAGAAGAGUUACUUGUUUGAGCCUACAAUCCAGAGCAGUCUUCGGAUGGCUUCAAUUCAGCCAGAGUAAGUGUCAGUGUCCCACAAUGACUUAAGUGAAGGCCAACCAUGAUCAGGGAACUGCAGUCAUGCUGAAAGAGACCUGUGGAGGGAUCUGCACUCUUACACCCAGAAGUUAGGCCCGCAGCAAACUGUUUUGGAUUUAAAAGUUGCGGCAUUGGCACCCUUGACCUUGGUGACCACAUACAGCAUGAAUCUGGGGUCUCUCUGCCUUCUUUACCAAGCAGCAUGAACUGGAAUGUGUCGUGGCCUGUGGCCUGGAGAUUGCCCCGAAAUUGUAGGUCCUAGAAGAAAAUCCAACAAUAUAAAUUACACAGGAAUUUCUUUUUGUCCUUUUUUGUUUGUUUGAUUGGUUGGAUUUUGUUUUUGGUUUGUUUGUUGUUUUUGUUUUCAGCGAGUGGCUGUGUUGUUUUUACUUUUUUGUUUUGUUUUUGUUUCUUUCUUCCUUUCCUCUUUUCUUCAUCAUUGGCAUUUAAGGACUUUUCCUUUGUCCUUCUUCCUUGAAUUUUAUCUCUUUUUCUCUUUUUUAUUUAUUUUUCUUUUUCCUCCAUUUCAUACUUUGCCCUUUAUUUUUCUUUUCUACGUAAUUUCUUAUUUUUUUCUCCCUCCUUUUCUUUUAUCUUCUAUUUCCCAUCGAUUUUCCCUAGAGACCUAAUUCUGUAAACAUCCUUAUAAUCCCCUGGGGUCCUUCCCCUUCUCUCUGUUCCCUCUCAUAUCGACAUAGAAGAUCAGGGUGUGACAAAACUCAUAAGGAAGUAGGCCUGUUAAUUUUGAGAUUUUAGAGCACAUGCAGAGAACAGUUCCCAAAGCCCUGCGUAUGGGCUUUUCACACGAACUUGAGCAAAUUUUCAAUAAGAUGGCUUAGACCUGAUGUCAGCUGGAGGCAUGAAAUCCCAGCACCACCUCUCAGGUCCCACAUGUAGAUGUUCUCACAGGCUUCCUCAAGGUUAGGAGAGUAGGAAAGAACGCAGAUGCCAAGAAGAGCUUGCUCUAGUGAUUUUCCUGGGGAAGUUUGCUCUCUUUCCUGCAGGGGCACUUUCAUUUUGUUUGCUUGCUUUUGUUCACCCCACGCUUGCUUUCCAGACCUUGUUUCCUCCCUCGCUCUUCAUUUUACUUUUUCAAAUAAACUUUGCCACUGCGUUU